rnacentral:rRNA from 1 species
GCAGCCGCCGCGGUAACACGUAGGUCCCGAGCGUUGUCCGGAUUUAUUGGACGUAAAGCGAGCGCAGGCGGUUAGAUAAGUCUGAAGUUAAAGGCUGUGGCUUAACCAUAGUACGCUUUGGAAACUGUUUAACUUGAGUGCAAGAGGGGAGAGCGGAAUUCCAUGUGUAGCGGUGAAAUGCGUAGAUAUAUGGAGGAACACCGGUGGCGAAAGCGGCUCUCUGGCUUGUAACUGACGCUGAGGCUCGAAAGCGUGGGGAGCAAACAGGAUUAGAUACCCCUGUAGUCCCUGUCUCUUAUACA